GACGAACGCUGGCGGCGUGCUUAACACAUGCAAGUCGAACGAAAAGAGGGAAAGAGCUUGCUCUUUCCGGAAUUGAGUGGCAAACGGGUGAGUAACACGUAAACAACCUGCCUUCAGGAUGGGGACAACAGACGGAAACGACUGCUAAUACCGAAUAAGUUCCAAGAGCCGCAUGGCCCAUGGAAGAAAAGGUGGCCUCUACCUGUAAGCUAUCGCCUGAAGAGGGGUUUGCGUCUGAUUAGCUGGUUGGAGGGGUAACGGCCCACCAAGGCGACGAUCAGUAGCCGGUCUGAGAGGAUGAACGGCCACACUGGAACUGAGACACGGUCCAGACUCUUACGGGAGGCAGCAGUGGGGAAUCUUCCGCAAUGGGCGAAAGCCUGACGGAGCAACGCCGCGUGAGUGAUGACGGCCUUCGGGUUGUAAAACUCUGUGAUCCGGGACGAAAAGGCAGAGUGCGAAGAACAAACUGCAUUGACGGUACCGGAAAAGCAAGCCACGGCUAACUACGUG
rnacentral:rRNA from 1 species